AAACUUUCAACAACGGAUCUCUUGGUUCUGGCAUCGAUGAAGAACGCAGCGAAAUUCGAUACGUAAUGUGAAUUGCAGAAUUCAGCGAACCAUCGAAUCUUUGAACGCACAUUGCGCCCGCCAGCAUUCUGGCGGGCAUGCCUGUCCGAGCGUCAUUA
rnacentral:rRNA from 1 species